rnacentral:lncRNA from 1 species
GUCUUGUUCUGUCACCCAGGUUGGAGUGCAGUGGUGUGAAUAUGGUUUACUGAGGCCUCAAUCUCCUGGGUUCAAGUGAUCUUCAUAUCUCAGCCUUCUGAGUAGCUGGGGCUACAGAAGCCACUUCGCUGCUCUGACGUGAAUUUCUAUAACCAAGACAUACUCUUCGACCUAGAGAGAUCAAGGCAUGAAAAAAUGGAAC